rnacentral:rRNA from 1 species
GUGGGGAAUAUUGGACAAUGGGCGAAAGCCUGAUCCAGCCAUGCCGCGUGUGUGAAGAAGGUCUUCGGAUUGUAAAGCACUUUAAGUUGGGAGGAAGGGCAGUAAGUUAAUACCUUGCUGUUUUGACGUUACCGACAGAAUAAGCACCGGCUAACUUCGUGCCAGCAGCCGCGGUAAUACGAAGGGUGCAAGCGUUAAUCGGAAUUACUGGGCGUAAAGCGCGCGUAGGUGGUUUUGUAAGUUGGAGGUGAAAUCCCCGGGCUCAACCUUGGAACUGACUCCAAAACUACUGAGCUAGAGUACGGUAGAGGGUAGUGGAAUUUCCUGGGUAGCGGUGAAAUGCGUAGAUAUAGGAAGGAACACCAGUGGCGAAGGCGACUACCUGGACUGAUACUGACACUGAGGUGCGAAAGCGUGGGGAGCAAACAGGAUUAGAUACCCUUGUAGUCC